rnacentral:rRNA from 1 species
GACGAACGCUGGCGGCGUGCUUAACACAUGCAAGUCGAACGGUAAGGCCCUUCGGGGUACACGAGUGGCGAACGGGUGAGUAACACGUGGGUGAUCUGCCCUGCACUUCGGGAUAAGCCUGGGAAACUGGGUCUAAUACCGGAUAGGACCACUGCCUGCAUGGGUGGUGGUGGAAAGCUUUUGCGGUGUGGGAUGGGCCCGCGGCCUAUCAGCUUGUUGGUGGGGUGAUGGCCUACCAAGGCGACGACGGGUAGCCGGCCUGAGAGGGUGACCGGCCACACUGGAACUGAGAGACGGCCCAGACUCCUACGGGAGGCAGCAGUGGGGAAUAUUGCACAAUGGACGCAAGCCUGAUGCAGCGACGCCGCGUGAGGGAUGACGGCCUUCGGGUUGUAAACCCCUUUCAGCACCGACGAAGCGCAAGUGACGGUAGGUGCAGAAGAAGGACCGGCCAACUACGUGCCAGCAGCCGCCGUAA